AGUGAACGUUGGCGGCGUGGAUUAGGCAUGCAAGUCGAGCGAGAACCGUAGCAAUACGGGGACAGCGGCGAAAGGGACAGUAAUGUGUAGGUACCUACCUCCGGGUUCGGGAUAGCUGCGGGAAACUGCAGGUAAUACCGAAUAACGUCUCCGGACCAAAGGUGUGAUUCCACCUGGAGAGGGGCCUGCAUCCUAUUAGCUAGUUGGGGAGGUAACGGCUCACCAAGGCGACGAUGGGUAGCGGGUGUGAGAGCACGACCCGCGUCAUUGGGACUGAGACACCGCCCAGACACCUACGGGUGGCUGCAGUCGAGGUUCUUCGGCAAUGGGCGCAAGCCUGCCCGAGCGACGCCGCGUGCGGGAUGAAGGCCUUCGGGUUGUAAACCGCUGUCGUAGAGGAGGAAAUGCAGGGGGGUUCUCCCCUCUGUUUGACCUAUUCUAGGAGGAAGGACGGGCUAAGUUCGUGCCAGCCGCCGCGGUAA
rnacentral:rRNA from 1 species